ensembl:lincRNA
CGCCCAGCUCCCCCCACACUGUGGAUGCUUCCUGCCUUAGGGGUUAGUCUAUAAGGGGUUUUUGGAACUCUGGAAAUGGAUUCUCAGCCGGAUGCUUACACAACUUCCACUGCAGAAAAGACUUGAGAAUAGAUGCCCCAGCUACAUACCCAGCGUGGAGCUGAGCAUGGGGCCUGGACUCACGACCCUGAGAUGGUGACCUGAGCAGAAAUUGAGCUGGACAUCUAAUUGACUGGACCACCUAGGAUCCCCCAAGGAGCCUGGGCAGCCGCUUCUGGGCGAUGGGGUAUGAUUUAAUACUCC